ensembl:misc_RNA Metazoa_SRP Metazoan signal recognition particle RNA
GCUGGGCACGGUGGCGCGUGCCUGUAGUCUCAGCUGCUCGGGAGGCUGAGGCAGGAGAAUUGCUUGAACCUGGGAGGUGGAGGUUGCAGUGAGCAGAGAUUGCAUCACUGCAUUCCAACCUGGGCAACAGAGCAAGAUCUUGUCUCAA